GUGUUAGCUUUGGCAGCACAUAUUUUAAAAAUUGGAACAAAAAAAAGACUAGCGUGGCCCCUGUGCAAGGAUGAUACAAAUUUGUGAGGUGUUCUACGGUUUG